CUCUCAAGGUUUUUCCAUAUGAAUGAAAUGUGUUGAAUUAAAGGAAAAGUGUAUGUAAAAGUAGUACUUUCUACUUUCUAGUUCCCCACAUGUUUUGAGUGCAUGCAUCCCUCCUAUGUGCUCUGUAUGAGUGCAUUUGUAUAUGUUUUUUUGUAGUGUAGUUGGAUGUGUUUGUAGUUUUUUGGGAUUAAACUAACAAUAUUUUUUAUUUCAUUCGUUUUCCUUGUUGUCUUAUACCAUGUGACUUGAUUCAUGAGCUAUUAUUUGAUCAAUUUAUCUAGGAAAUGGUUCCUUGUUUGUUUUUGCUUCCUAUCUAUAGUUAAAGGAAUUUGCAUACACAUAGGCUCUUUAUUGAUUGCUGAUUUGGGUUGGAAGGACAUAUGGCUUGUGGCCCAAUGAUUUGGCACCAACCAUCCUAUUGUUGAUAGACUUCUUAUUUUUUAUAGUCUUCUUAUUGUUGCAUCCAAAUUUGGCAUCAACCAUCCUAUUAUUGUUGAUAUACUUUUUAUUGUUGCAUCAAGAUUUGGCAUCAACCAUCAUAUCCUCUUAAUUGAUGUGAUGUGCACAUAUAAAACUCUAAUAAUAUAAAUAGAUUUAAUGAUGCAAGACCCGAAACUGUUAAGAAGAACAAGGGACCCAUCCACUUUGUUCGAUCAAAUGGAAAAGGUACGAUAGUCUAUUUACUAUACUCCAUGAUUUACAUUUAUUAGAUAACUCUUAUAUUGUUUAUAACUAAUAUAUGUCAUUUCUUAUUGAACUUCAUUUCAGAUAAAAAAAUGUCCAUAUUAAUGAAUCAACUAAAACCUUAAGAAAAUGGGACCUAGAUCAAUGACAAGUACCUUUGGUCGAGAAGACCAAAUUGAGCUCAUUAAUUAACAUUAGAGUCUCUAGUAUCGAUCGUAGUUUAUUGAGGGCCUUCAUGGGGAAAUGGUGCAAGGUGACAACUAUUGCACAUUUGACUGUUAGUGAGAUGACUCUAACCUUGUACGAUGUGUGACAUAUAUUGAGGAUACCUAUGACAGGAGAGCCUGUAACCGGCAUCAGACCUACAGACUACAAGGUUUUUCUCAUGGAGUAUUUAGGAGAUUGCCCUAAAGGUGAUAGCUUAUUUCGUCUUAAGCAUACUUGGUUGAGGACGAAAUUUGGACAACUAUAAAAAAAACCUUCCAAAUUAAAACUCCUUCAACACACUCGAGCAUAUCUGCUAUAUUUGGUAGGCACAACGAUAUUUGCCGACGCAUCUCAAGGGUCAACGCUUACAAGUUACGUACAACUGUUUCGAGAUCUCGAGGAGGCUAGGAAGUACGCAUGGGGUGCAACAACACUUGCCUUCCUAUAUCGUUCAUUGUCUAAAGUCAUGCAUGGGGAUACGCAUUUUAGUGGGUCAACAAUACUACUACAGUGUUGGAUCUAUGAACAUUUCCCAGCUAUAGGCACCAAACCUAAAACUAUCACCAUAGAAAUGCCUAGAGCUUGCAAGUAGUAUUAUAUGCCGGAUCGUUUGCUGCGGCAAUUUGGAAAGUCACAAGUUAUUCCCGUGGGGCCUCCUAAGUGGGCGAGGAGGGAGAAGGGGGGUCUACACCCCACUACUUGGAGUGAUGAGUUAGCUAGCGAGAUAAGCGACUGGCGGCAACGAGAACGCAAUGUUGUCAAGGCAGCCACAGAUAAAUAUAGUGGAAUGCCUACAAAGGAUUAUAUGGCCUGGUAUAACAUGUUCACUCAUAGAUAUGGAAAUACUCCCUUGUGCCCCCCUUCACAGUCGCAAUCAAAUACCCUCCCCCCUCGCAGGCCAUGAUGACGAGAGGAUAUUGCGAUUAACCUGUAUAGGGAUGCUACAAGCUGCACUUGGUGGUGAAGUAUUAGUAGGGGAAUAGAGAGGUUUAGUACAGGCGACCCACGAUUUGUUAGUGCAGAACAUUCUUAUUGAUCAUGCCGAGGAGAUGGUGGAUGUGAGGGCGAGGAUACAAAUGGUGGGGAUGACGACAACGAGAGCGAGGAGACAAAUGGUGGGGAUGACGACAACGAGAGCGAGACUGAUGAGAAAUGCAAGACUGAAGAGAGAGAUGGUGGAGAUGAGAAAAGAGAGAGCGAGAUUGAUGAGGAAGAUGAGAGGAGAACGAAGAGCAAAAAUGAUAAGGAAAGAGAGAUCGAGAUUGAUGAGGAAAAUGAAAGGAGAACAAAGAGCAAAAAUGAUAAGGGUAAGGGUAUUGCAAGUUGGCCAAUGGUUGAGGUCAAGAAAGUGAAAGCCGAUGUAUUUUUUUGGAACAAAUGUAAAUUUAAAAGUAUGAAGCUCUUUUGAGACAUAAGUUGAGU